rnacentral:rRNA from 1 species
AUUGAACGCUGGCGGCAUGCUUUACACAUGCAGGUCGAACGGUAACAGGGUGCUUGCACCGCUGACGAGUGGCGAACGGGUGAGUAAUGCGUCGGAACGUGCCGAGUAGUGGGGGAUAACGCAGCGAAAGUUGUGCUAAUACCGCAUACGUACUGAGGUAGAAAGUGGGGGACCUUCGGGCCUCACGCUAUCCGAGCGGCCGACGUCUGAUUAGCUAGUAGGUGAGGUAAAGGCUCACCUAGGCGACGAUCAGUAGCGGGUCUGAGAGGAUGAUCCGCCACACUGGGACUGAGACACGGCCCAGACUCCUACGGGAGGCAGCAGUGGGGAAUUUUGGACAAUGGGCGAAAGCCUGAUCCAGCCAUGCCGCGUGUCUGAAGAAGGCCUUCGGGUUGUAAAGGACUUUUGUCGGGGAGGAAAUCCCCAGCGUUAAUACCGCUGGGGGAUGACAGUACCUGAAGAAUAAGCACCGGCUAACUACGUGCCAGCCGCCGCAGUAA